GGGGGGGGGGGCAGGCGUUGUUCGGAAUUACUGGGCGUAAAGGGCGCGUAGGCGGGUCCAGAAAGUCUUUCGUGAAAUCCCACAGCUCAACUGUGGAACUGCGAAAGAAACUGCUGGACUUGAGUCCGGGAGAGGAGAGCGGAAUUCCCAGUGUAGCGGUGAAAUGCGUAGAUAUUGGGAGGAACACCGGUGGCGAAGGCGGCUCUCUGGACCGGUACUGACGCUGAGGCGCGAAAGCUAGGGGAGCAAACGGGAUUAGAUACCCCGGUAGUCCUAGCCUUAAACGAUGAGCACUUGGUGUGGCGGGUAUCGACCCCUGCCGUGCCGAAGCUAACGCAUUAAGUGCUCCGCCUGGGGAGUACGGUCGCAAGGCUG
rnacentral:rRNA from 1 species